rnacentral:rRNA from 1 species
UGGGGAAUAUUGCACAAUGGGCGAAAGCCUGAUGCAGCGACGCCACGUGCGGGAUGAAGGCCUUCGGGUUGUAAACCGCUUUUAAUUGGGAGCAAGCGAGAGUGAGUGUACCUUUUGAAUAAGCACCGGCUAACUACGUGCCAGCAGCCGCGGUAAUACGUAGGGUGCAAGCGUUAUCCGGAAUUAUUGGGCGUAAAGAGCUCGUAGGCGGUUUGUCACGCCUGGUGUGAAAGUCCAUCGCUUAACGGUGGAUCUGCGCCGGGUACGGGCAGGCUAGAGUGCAGUAGGGGAGAUUGGAGUUCCCGGUGUAACGGUGGAAUGUGUAGAUAUCGGGAAGAACACCAAUGGCGAAGGCAGAUCUCUGGGCUGUUACUGACGCUGAGGAGCGAAAGCAUGGGGAGCGAACAGGAUUAGAUACCCUGGUAGUCCAUGCCGUAAACGGUGGAUGCUGGAUGUGGGACCCUUCCACGGGUUCCGUGUCGGAGCUAACGCGUUAAGCAUCCCGCCUGGGGAGUACGGCCGCAAGGCUAAAACUCUAAA